GGUUAAGUUAUGAAGGGCGCAUGGUGAAUGCCUUGGUACUAGGAGCCGAUGAAGGACGGGACUAACACCGAUAUGCUUCGGGGAGCUGUACGUAAGCUUUGAUCCGGAGAUUUCCGAAUGGGGAAACCCAAUCAUCUUUACCGAUGAUUACAACUUAGGGAAUACAUACUUAAGUUGAGGCAGACGUGGGGAACUGAAACAUCUAAGUACCCACAGGAAGAGAAAGAAAAAUCGAUUCCCUAAGUAGCGGCGAGCGAACGGGGAAUAGCCCAAACCAAAGAGCUUGCUCUUUGGGGUUGUAGGACUGAACAUUUGAGUUACCAAAGUCAAUGAUAAUCGAAGUGUCUGGGAAGGCACGGCAUAGCGGGUGAUACCCCCGUAGAUGAAAUCGUUGGCCCUCAGUUCAGGAUCCUGAGUACGGCCACACACGUGAAACGUGGUCGGAAUCCGGGAGGACCAUCUCCCAAGGCUAAAUACUCCCUAGUGACCGAUAGUGAACCAGUACCGUGAGGGAAAGG
rnacentral:ncRNA from 1 species